GACGAACGCUGGCGGCGUGCUUAACACAUGCAAGUCGAACGGAAAGGCCCUGCUUUUGUUGGGUGCUCGGGUGGCGAACGGGUGAGUAACACGUGAGUAACCUGCCCUUGACUUUGGGAUAACUUCAGGAAACUGUGGCUAAUACCGGAUAGGAGCUCCUGCUGCAUGGUGGGGGUUGGAAAGUUUCGGCGGUUGGGGAUGGACUCGCGGCUUAUCAGCUUGUUGGUGGAGUAGUGGCUUACCAAGGCUUCGACGGGUAGCCGGCCUGAGAGGGUGGCCGGCCACAUUGGGCCUGAGAUAGGGCCCAGAGUCCUACGGGAGGCAGCAGUGGAGAAUAUUGCACAGUGGGCGGAAGCCUGAGGCAGCAACGCCGCGUGCGGGAUGACGGCCUUCGGGUUGUAAACCGCUUUGGCCUGUGACGAAGCGUGAGUGACGGUAAUGGGUAAAGAAGCACCGGCUAACUACGUG
rnacentral:rRNA from 1 species